rnacentral:lncRNA from 1 species
GGAGUUGUGGCGUCCAUCCAGGCCGCCAUGGCCACCGAUGGCAUCGUGUCGGCCAUCCCACGGCUCCCCGUGUGGAUAAGAGUCGCCCCCUGCUCUCUCUCCCUUCCCGAAACGUAGUGCCCCCCGACCUCGAUCCCCUUCUCCCUCUCGCCCCCCUGCGUCGAUCUAGAGAGGCGUCCGACGCGGCCGUCGCCGUUCCUUGUUGAUUCGGUGGCCGCCGUCGUCCUAGCACACGUGGAGCUUGUCCAGGAGAACCGCCACGGCCCUCUUCGUCCAUUUAGAGCACCAAAUAGAGUCGAGGUAGAUCGUAUGCUCGUCAUCGACAUUGUCUUCUCCGCGUACAUCAUCUUCGUCCAUCCCCGAUUGCCACUGCUCCGGUCCACCUCCGGCCUUCCUGAUCUCACCUCCGAGCUCCUGGUGAGCUUCUCCCUCAAAUCCCCCUUUUUUCCUUGUCGAAUCCGUCGCAGUAGCCGUACGUCGCCGCGACCGAGCUUGGCCGGAGCUCCGCUUGCCGUGCAACCACUGCUCGUGUCUGUGUGCUACUAUUUUGCACUGCUGCUGCCGCUAGUUACUGCUCCUUGCUACUGCUUAUUCGCUGCUAUAGCUAGCCGCUGCCGCUACCCUUUGGCCAUGCUUCUUACCUUAGCCGUGCUACCCGCUGCUGCCAUGGCCAUGGCCAUGGUUAGGUGUGUGCGUGAUAUGCGUGAGUGUGUGUAGAACCGGCCCUAUUAAAGUUAAUUAGUGUUAGGUAGAUUUAGUUUAGGGGAUGAUUUGUUAGUAAGGUUAAUCAGUGUGUAACUAGGCAAAUUAAUAAUUAGGAUAAUUGGUACGCUAUGACAUGUGGCCUCACCCCUAGUUAAAUAAGCUAGAUUUAGGUGCCCCAUGUGACAAUGACAAAUGGGCCCCUUUUGACCACGUUGACCAGUCAAUCCUGACUGGUCAACUACUGCUGACUCGAGCCCCCUGGCUCCACUGUCAUACACACUAGCUAGAAUAGCCCAUGUAAGAAAAUUAUUUCUGCUUUUAUUUUCGAAUUAGGAUAAUCUAAGAUAUUGUUAAAACUUUGGAAAUUAAUAUAACAUAAUUCGUAAUCCGGAUGAAAAACAUUUGUACAUGAAAGUUGAUCAGAAAAACGAGACGAACCCGGAUAAGCUAUCCGUUCGUGCCAUGCGUCCCUAGUAUAGUGAACAUGUAACUUUUUCCAUCGUUUGCACUUGUGAGGUAGUAGCGAGAGACAUGAAAAAUAUCGUCAGAUAUUAUUUCGAUCCGUCGAUGACGUAUAGUACCGCGUUAGCUCAUGCCUAGCGCUUUCUUUAGCCAUGUCAUACUUUGUGAUGCAUUUAAUUGCUCCGUUACUUAUUGUGUUUCCCCUAUGUUACUUCCUUUCUGGUAGACCCCGAGACCGAGGAUGAUCCAGCGAUCGACUACUUCCCGGUCGAGGAUCUAUUUUUGUGUGCAGAGCAACCAGGCAAGCAGACCCCCCCUUGAUCAUUCCUAUAUCGCCUAUUUCUUUCUCCCUCAUGCUUGCAUUUGAUUUUGCUACUGUCGUAGUUACCUCCUAUAUCUUAUGCAUAGCCUGUUUUUGAUGAACUGCUACUUCACUAUAUCGCGUUUUAAACUGCUUAGUAUAGGUGGCGCAGUCAUCUCCUUUGACCCUUAAUCCAGUUGCCCCUGCUUUUUUAUCAAGUCUCGAUCAUGUGAUCGACGAGCCAUGACCCAUCACAACACUCACACCCCCUUAGUUGAACGAUGCUGCAGAUCUACUAUCGAGUACCGAGGGUGACACAUCGUUACGUACUCCGAUGUUGGCGUUGUAGUGUAGUUGACCAGCGGUGGUUCUCGGAGGGUUAUUCCUCCUUCACCGCCUCCGAUAAACGACUCUGUCGUGCAACCCAUCAAGCGUGGACCAUCGAAGGUGAUUCCUCCUUGGCAACCUUGACGGUUACAUCGUUUGGAAUGCAUCGAGGGUGUUACCUCGGAUCCCUCUGAUGUUACAACCACACAACUACUUGACCUUGUUAUUGGGAACUUGAUGCAUGAUGUGUUGCGGGUGGAUUCCCACGUGGAUGUGAUGAUGAGUUAAUUAAAAUGCUAAUGGAUUUUGGUAUUUGAUCUGAGUUGGUCGGGAGACCUUUUUCGCUAACCAUCACGCGGGAGAAGUUACGGGUACUCGAAGUUGUGGUAUAAGCCGAAGCUCUUUAGACGUCAGCAAUGGAGCAGCGCGCGCCCGAGUGGUGUCGAUAAGCAUCGUUCUUGUAUAAGAGGUUGUAGGAUUGACAUCCGCCGCCCUCGCAACGUGCAGGAGUGCAAAGGGGUGAUGGGCCCAUGUGACAGCCCGAUGCCGACGUUCUAGAAGCUUCCCCUCUCUUUCCGUUUUCGUCGUGUGGCUUAUUUUAAUUGUCGUGUCAUCAUCGCAUCAUGCGCAUCAUCAGCAUUGCAUCGGCGUCUCCGUUGCCGCCAGUUUUCAAAACUUGCAUCCGUUAGUAGUUGCCGGAUUCUCGUCGUUGUCCGUUCCGAGUCCGACUGCACACGCACGCGCCCGCGGCACCGUCGAAACCCUGUUUUUAAAGUGCGUUGAAAACUUUCUCUUGACCUUGUUAUUGGGAACUUGAUGCAUGAUGUGUUGCGGGUGGAUUCCCACGUGGAUUUGAUGAUGAGUUAAUUAAAAUGCUAAUGGAUUUUGGUAUUUGAUCUGAGUUGGUCGGGAGACCUUUUUGCUAACCAUCACGCGGGAGAAGUUACGGGUACUCGAAGUUGUGGUAUAAGCCGAAGCUCUUUAGACGUCAGCAAUGGAGNNNNNAUUUCGUCGCGAUCGGAUACCGUCUGGUACCCGAACGAUUGCCCGUAGCGGCACUGUAUUCGGUCUACCGUCGAACGUCUGUCGGUGUUUUAAAAGUCGAUGCCGCGCCGCACCACUUCCUUCUCAUCUUAGUCAACGCCACUCUACACACCUAACCCUAACCCGCCUCUCCGAUCGGACCGCACGAACGUGUCCAGAGGGUCGAAAAACCCCCAGAUACCCUGCACCCUAGCCCCUUUCCCUAUUUAAGCACCCCUCCCUGCCUAUUUUGGGCGCCCCCCUAAUCCUCCUCGGGAUCCGCUCCCUANNNNNNNNNNNNNNNNNNNNNNNNNNNNNNNNNNNNNNNNNNNNNNNNNNNNNNNNNNNNNNNNNNNNNNNNNNNNNNNNNNNNNNNNNNNNNNNNNNNNNNNNNNNNNNNNNNNNNNNNNNNNNNNNNNNNNNNNNNNNNNNNNNNNNNNNNNNNNNNNNNNNNNNNNNNNNNNNNNNNNNNNNNNNNNNNNNNNNNNNNNNNNNNNNNNNNNNNNCCCGCGCGCGGCCCGCCGAGGCCCAUCCGGCCGCCGCUCGGGCUGCAGCCGCCGCCGAGUGCCCGAGCCCCUGCAACCCCGAGCCUCCCCCAUGGCUCCCUCACCCGCGCCGCCACGCCGGCCAGCAGCCGCCGCCGGCCCUUGCCUUGCCAGCCCGCCGCCUGGAUCCCGCGCCGGCUCCCGAGCGCGCCACCCCUGUGCCCAGCAGCCGCUCGCCUCGCCGGAACCGCCCUGCCCCGUCGUCGGUUGCCUUGUUGCUGCUCCUUGUUUCCCGCGCGUCCCCGCGCCGGAUCCGCCGCCUGCCGACUCAAGCACAAGUGCGCCGCCGCCGGUCGCCUACCUCGUCUCGCCGGAGGACCUGCAGGGAUGCUCGACGCCAAGCCCUCGCCGCCGCCAUGGUUGAGCUCGGGAGCGAGCAGGAGAGGAACGGGCAGCGUCCCUGCUCGUCGCGUGGGGCUGCUCCUCCGCGUGGGCCGGCCUCGUCUCCCGGCCCAGCUCAGCCUCCCCUGCCGCGCACCGACCGGGCCAGGUCCCAGCGCAUCCAACCGGCCAGGCCCAAGUGGCCAAGGUAAGCUAUCCCUCGCCCCCCUGCACACAUUAUCUGUUUGCACCCCGUUCGGCCCAUUGGUGAUUUAGCUUGAUUUAGGAAUUAAUAUAAAUUCCAGAUAAGUAGGUUUUAUUUCAAACGCCCGUAGUUUUAUAUUCGUAAAUCGGGUCGAGACAUGUAAUACAUGGAUUUGUGGUAGUUUCGCGCGUAGAAUACGAAUUUGACACAUGCAUAAUUGUUUAACGCCGUUUAGGGUGCCUAAUGCUUUGUUUUGCGUGCUGUUACAAUAGGUUCCGUUCCGUAGUUAUUCUUCGCGUGUGUCCGGAUUGCCCGUAUGCCGCAUUAGAAAUGUCCAUGCUCUAGGGAGCUAUUUUCCAUGUAUUUUAGAGCGAUCAAGUGUAUUUUUGCGUGUAGGGUUUGCCCGUUAGAUUAUUUUUCGUGUCUAGGUUUAUUUCUCCCGCAUUAUUCUGUGGCGUUAUUUUGUGUUGCAAACCCCACAUAUUUUAUAUGUUUCCGGGGUAGAAAAAUCCCAUGGAUUUUUCUGUGCAAUUAGUUUUAGCUUUCGAGUAAGUUAGUUCGUGAGAUAUUUUGCCGUGAUGCCCUUUUGUUUAAUUCGUAGGAUUUAAUCCGUGCGUCGUUUGACGGAGUUGUCAACUAGAGAGUUGAUCUUGGAUGUUUUGUUUAGUCCCUGGUAUUUUUGGUUGCAAUAGAAAUGCGUGUUUAGGUGUUGUUUGCUUGCUCCCAAGUUGCUAGAAAUAGUGCUGAUUUGGAGGAGCUGAAAUAUUUCUAAGUCUGGAGUCUGUUAUAUUUUGUUGCUGUCUUGUCUUGUUUGCAUCUUGUGAUGUGUAGCUCUUUUGAGGUUGGUCCAAUGGAGUUAGUUGUACCCCUUGUGUUUCUCUAGCAUGCUGUGAAGUUUCAUGCCAUUUGGAGUACUGUAGCUAUAGGUUUUGCUGCUGUCAAUUUUGCUUCAGGCUGAAAACUGCAUUUUCCGGAGGUGUUAUUUUCACUAAGUCUGAAAUAGUGUGUGAGAUGCCAUUUUGUGUCUUCUUUUCCAAGUGCUCCUUGCUGCCAUGCUAGUUGUUGUUAGUUGGUUGUAGUAGUGCGUCUUGCCCUCUUUCAUGCCAUGCCUUGCUUGAUCUCAUCGGAGUUGUGUAUCCGUAGUUGUGGGGCGAAGAAAGUGCUAUGUGGCUGUUAUUGGCAGUUUGUAGUGAUUUCUUGUUUUGCUCGUAAUUUUCGAACCGUAACUCCAUUUUGAUCGUGUCCUACUUGAAACUUGCUUAGAAUCUCGUGUAGUUUCAUUUUCUCUUACUGGUUGUUUGUCUUGAAGUGCUCGUAGCCAUCGUUGCACACAUUUUGCAUUCAUGCCAUCAUAUCUUGCGGCGCUUGUAUCUUUUGAUCCGUAGCUCCGUUGGAGAUGUUCUUUACGUGUAGGUUUCUUGCCUUGACGCGUAGAAGCACGUGAACCUAUUGGUUUUGCUGUUUAACAACUAAUUAAAUGUCUUAAUUCAGAUCUGGACAGAAUUGUAAAUUAACAUGUGAGGUCGAAUCAGAGGUGCUAUAUGUCAUUUCCGACCUCAUUUAAAAUGCCUAGAUAGGUAGUUUAAUUUCCGCUUCACCUCUUGCAUGUUUAACCACAUUUAAUAUUGCCGUGUAAAUAACCGGGAGUGAACUAAAUAUUUAACGUGGAGUUUCGUCAAUAUGCAACUCGUGCAUAUUGAACUUCACUUAAUGUGUAGUGUUUGAUUGUGUGAUUUGUCAUGCCGUGACUUGCAUGUAUUCAGCAGCUCAUGCAUCAUAUGUGUUGUGCAUCGUAUGGUGAAUAUCGUGUGUUGAUUCUUGUUUUCGGUUUGCUUCGUCUCGAUAGAGUUUCGCAUCGUGCCGGAUUGUGAGGACCCGUUCGACUACGUCGGUUCGUCUGCUUUACGGAGUCAUUCUUCUUCCAAGCGGGAUCUCAGGCAAGAUGAUCAUUUCCCCAGAUACCAUUACUAUCAUUGCCAUGCUAGAUUUACCGUCUCUAUCGUUAUGUCUCGUUGCCUACCACAUGUUAAAUAUCAGCCUCUCAACAAUGCCAUGAAACCUUCAACCUGUUCAACCUAGCAAACCACUGAUUGGCUAUGUUACUGCUUGCUUAACCCUGUUGAUAGCGUUGCUAGUUGCAGGUGUAGUUGCUUCCAUGUGAAAACAUGGGUCCCUUGUCUUAUCAUCAUAUUAUAUGCUAUUUAAUUUAUUGCACCUCUAUACUUGGUAAAAGGUGGAAGGCUCGACCUUUCUAGCCUGGUGUUUUGUUCCACCUUUGCCCCCUUAGUUUCGGCUACCGGUGUUAUGUUCCAUAAAUGAGCGCUCCUAACACGAUCGGGGUUGUUAUGGGGACCCCCUUGAUAAUUUGUUUUAGAUUAAGGCUGGUCUGGCAAGGCCCAACUUUGGUUCUACAUUUUCCCAACAUAAUAACUUGAUAAUAUUGAAAUGCAUAGGGAGUUAGCGCUACCCGAGGAGUAAUUCUACAUAUUACAGGGGGGCCAGUGCUGUUGGUGCUGGUCCAAAACUAGAGCCGUUUGCGGGGCCAACCCGGGGCAACUCGGGAGAUUUCUAUCAGGCCACCGUACGCUGUGCUUAUACGUCGUGUCCUGAGAACGAGAUACGUGGCUCCUAUCGGGAUCGUCGACACGCCGGGCGGCCUUGCUGGAUUAGUUUUACCUUUGACGAGAUAUCUUGUGCAUCGGGAUUCCGGUGAUGCUUUGGGUAAUCUCAGAGUUGAGGUUUUCCACUAGGGAAUCCGACGAGGUCGCGAGCUUCGUGAUUGAGGAUUUCUAUGCGGCUUGUGGUAAUUUGUGAUGGACUAGUUGGAGCACCCCUGCAGGGUUAAAUCUUUUGGAAAGCCGUGCCCGCGGUUAUGUGACAACGUGGAUACUUUGUUUAACACUGGUUCUAGAUAACUCGAAGUUAAUUAAUUAAAACAUGCCUACCGUGUGCGUAACCGUGACUGUCUCUUUCGUGAGUUCCUUCUCCGAUCGAGGACACGGUGGGGUUAUGUCUGACGUAGGCAGGUGUUCAGGAUCAUUCAUUUGAUCAUCAGUAGUUCACGUUCGUUAUGCGUAGAUCUUCCCCCUCUCAUUUCUUGUACUCAUAAGUUUAGCCACCAAAUAUAUGCUUAGGCGCUGCUGCAACCUCACCACUUAACCAUACCUCACCCAUUAAGCUUUACUAGUCUUGAUACCUUUGGAAAUGAGAUUGCUGAGUCCCCUGUGGCUCACAGAUUACUACAACACCAGUUGCAGGUACAGGUAGAGGGUACUUGACGCGAGCGUGUUGAUUGUUCAUUUGGAGUUGCUUCUUCUUCUUCUUCUUCUUCAUCGAUCUAGGAUGGGUUCCAGGCCGGCAUCUUGGGAUAGCAAGGAUGGACGUCGUUCUUCUUUUGUCGUUUGUUUUCGUCCGUAGUCGGACCCUGCUCUUACUCUUGAUGAUUAUGUAAUGUACUGAUGUGACUGAUGUAACUUGUGACGAUUGUAAGCCAAUUCUAUAUAUCUCUUCUUUUCAGUACAUGUACUUGUAACGAUAUCCAUUCUUGCGACACGACGAGAUGCGCUUCUAUCCCUGACGAGACCCUCGUGCCAAAUUGAGGAUAGGGU